GUGGGGAAUAUUGGACAAUGGGCGAAAGCCUGAUCCAGCAAUGCCGCGUGAGUGAUGAAGGCCUUAGGGUUGUAAAGCUCUUUUACCCGGGAAGAUAAUGACUGUACCGGGAGAAUAAGCCCCGGCUAACUCCGUGCCAGCAGCCGCGGUAAUACGGAGGGGGCUAGCGUUGUUCGGAAUUACUGGGCGUAAAGCGCACGUAGGCGGUUUUGUAUGUUAGAGGUGAAAGCCUGGGGCUCAACCCCAGAAUUGCCUUUAAGACUGCAUCACUUGAACGUCGGAGAGGUGAGUGGAAUUCCGAGUGUAGAGGUGAAAUUCGUAGAUAUUCGGAAGAACACCAGUGGCGAAGGCGGCUCACUGGACGACUGUUGACGCUGAGGUGCGAAAGCGUGGGGAGCAAACAGGAUUAGAAACCCGUGUAGUCC
rnacentral:rRNA from 1 species